CGUAUCACCCAAGACAACUUUACGGAGUUGACGAUUGACGGAGCGAAGCGACGUCAAAGCGUUCAUUAAAGUCGAGUUGGCUUAGGGAUACGUUCGUUGGGUAGGGGAGCGUUCUGUAAGCCUGUGAAGGUGGCCUGUGAGGGUUGCUGGAGGUAUCAGAAGUGCGAAUGCUGACAUAAGUAACGAUAAAGCGGGUGAAAAGCCCGCUCGCUGGAAGACCAAGGGUUCCUGUCCAACGUUAAUCGGGGCAGGGUGAGUCGACCCCUAAGGCGAGGCCGAAAGGCGUAGUCGAUGGGAAACGGGUUAAUAUUCCCGUACUUGGUGUUACUGCGAAGGGGGGACGGAGAAGGCUAUGUUGGCCGGGCGACGGUUGUCCCGGUUUAAGCGUGUAGGCUGGUUUUCCAGGCAAAUCCGGAAAAUCAAGGCUGAGGCGUGACGACGAGGCACUACGGUGCUGAAGCAACAAAUGCCCUGCUUCCAGGAAAAGCCUCUAAGCAUCAGGUAACAUCAAAUCGUACCCCAAACCGACACAGGUGGUCGGGUAGAGAAUACCAAGGCGCUUGAGAGAACUCGGGUGAAGGAACUAGGCAAAAUGGUGCCGUAACUUCGGGAGAAGGCACGCUGACACGUAGGUGAAGUGAUUUACUCAUGGAGCUGAAGUCAGUCGAAGAUACCAGCUGGCUGCAACUGUUUAUUAAAAACACAGCACUGUGCAAACACGUAAGUGGACGUAUACGGUGUGACGCCUGCCCGGUGCCGGAAGGUUAAUUGAUGGGGUCAGCGCAAGCGAAGCUCCUGAUAGAAGCCCCGGUAAACGGCGGCCGUAACUAUAACGGUCCUAAGGUAGCGAAAUUCCUUGUCGGGUAAGUUCCGACCUGCACGAAUGGCGUAAUGAUGGCCAGGCUGUCUCCACCCGAGACUCAGUGAAAUUGAACUCGCUGUGAAGAUGCAGUGUACCCGCGGCAAGACGGAAAGACCCCGUGAACCUUUACUAUAGCUUGACACUGAACAUUGAGCCUUGAUGUGUAGGAUAGGUGGGAGGCUUUGAAGCGUGGACGCCAGUCUGC
rnacentral:rRNA from 1 species